GCUUUGAAAAGAACUGGACGGCGUAUAAGAAUGGUUUCGGAACACCGGAAAAAAAUGUUUGGAUCGGUAAUGAUGUAAUUCAUCAGUUAACAAAGGGAAACGACUCGUCCCUCUAUGUCUCCAUUACUCUCCAGAAUGGUACGAUACUGUACGAGUUGUACGAAAAGUUCGCCAUUUCUGACGAAACGGAGAAGUAUAAACUAUUUCUGGCGGGAACUGCAGAGGGGACAUUGGGUGAAAGUAUGAUAAAUAAUAAACUUGCGUACCUUCGAUUGCCUGGUAUGUAUUUUACUACGUACGAUAGAGAUAACGACAGGAAGGUGAACAGUAGCUGUGCUACUGAGUACAAAGGAGGUUGGUGGUUCAAUGGGUGCCACGACGCCUUUCUGAACGGGCCCUGGUCACCAGAAACAUGGACUUCGCCUUGGUUUCCUGUAGUGAAUUCUAGCACAUUUGUCAGAGGGACAGUGAUGAUGGUCAGGCGU